rnacentral:rRNA from 1 species
UACGGAGGGGGCUAGCGUUGUUCGGAAUUACUGGGCGUAAAGCGCACGUAGGCGGCUUUGCAAGUCAGGGGUGAAAUCCUGGAGCUCAACUCCAGAACUGCCUUUGAUACUGAAGAUCUUGAGUUCGGGAGAGGUGAGUGGAACUGCGAGUGUAGAGGUGAAAUUCGUAGAUAUUCGCAAGAACACCAGUGGCGAAGGCGGCUCACUGGCCCGAUACUGACGCUGAGGCACGAAAGCGUGGGGAGCAAACAGG